rnacentral:rRNA from 1 species
GAUGAACGCUGGCGGCGUGCUUAACACAUGCAAGUCGAACGUUGAAGCCCAGCUUGCUGGGUGGAUUAGUGGCGAACGGGUGAGUAACACGUGAGUAACCUGCCCUUAACUCUGGGAUAAGCCUGGGAAACUGGGUCUAAUACCGGAUAGGAGCGCCUACCGCAUGGUGGGUGUUGGAAAGAUUUAUCGGUUUUGGAUGGACUCGCGGCCUAUCAGCUUGUUGGUGAGGUAAUGGCUCACCAAGGCGACGACGGGUAGCCGGCCUGAGAGGGUGACCGGCCACACUGGGACUGAGACACGGCCCAGACUCCUACGGGAGGCAGCAGUGGGGAAUAUUGCACAAUGGGCGAAAGCCUGAUGCAGCGACGCCGCGUGAGGGAUGACGGCCUUCGGGUUGUAAACCUCUUUCAGUAGGGAAGAAGCGAAAGUGACGGUACCUGCAGAAGAAGCACCGGCUAACUACGUG